rnacentral:pre_miRNA from 1 species
AUAAUACUCCCUUCGUUCGGAAUUACUUGUCAUCAAAAUGGAUGUGUCUAGAACUAAAAUACAUCUAGAUACAUCCAUUUCAAUGACAAGUAUUUUCGGACGGAGGGAGUAGUAG